rnacentral:lncRNA from 1 species
AUACUGCCUUUCUCUUAUUUAUUUUUUUGUAUUUUCAAAAUUACGAAUAUGAUCUUCGAUGUUUUAUUAAAUUAUUUUAUUUUUUUUUACUUUUCUCUUCAAAUCGAUUAAAAAUUCAACGAUUUAAGGUUUGAAAUAAUUUUUUUUUGAAAGCAUGUGAACUUUUAACUAGUUUUCGAAAACCAAUUAAGAAAAAAAUAUAUUUUAAAA